AUUGAACGCUGGCGGCAGGCCUAACACAUGCACGUCGAACGAGUGGCGGACGGGUGAGUAAUGUCUGGGAAACUGCCUGAUGGAGGGGGAUAACUCCUGGAACCGGUAGCUCAUCCCGCAUACCAUCAGAUGUGCCCAGCUGGGAUUAGCUAGUUGGUGGGGUAACGGCUCAACAAGGCGACGAUCCCUAGCUGGUCUGCGAGGAUGACCAGCAACACGGGAACUGAGACACGGUCCAGACUCCUACGGGAGGCAGCAGUGGGGAAUAUUGCACAAUGGGCGCAAGCCUGAUGCAGCCAUGCCGCGUGUAUGAAGAAGGCCUUCGGGUUGUAAAGUACUUUCAGCGGGGAGGCGUUACCCGCAGAAGAAGCACCGGCUAACUCCGUGCCAGCCGCCGCGGUAAUAC
rnacentral:rRNA from 1 species